rnacentral:lncRNA from 1 species
GCGUGGGCAGGCGAGGAAGGCACGGGAGGCGCGGCGAUGUUGCGGCGGGGUUUGUUGGUGGGUGCGCUGACAGGAUAAAGCCAGCAGCACACACACAGCUGUGCAGCCAAAGCCUCUGCGCAAUUACAAGCCCCGCUGCUGCCCUCGUACCAGUCAAGCCUCCUCUGUCUCCUGUGUUCCCUCCUCCACGCCGUCCUCCUCCUUCCGCUCUCACCUGGCGUGUGACGCCCACAGUGCCGCCCAGCUCCAUCGCCUCCUUCUUGGUGACCUCGUACAGCUUGCGGGUGGUCUGCAGCUGCUCAGCCAGGUGAACCAUCUCAAAGCGGCCGGGCGCGGCGCUGUUGGCCUGGGGAUGGUAGACAGAAACAUGUAUUCGUUUAGAGGGUGUACGCGGAGUGUGCGGCAUUUAACCUCCACGUACAAACGCAGCCAGCCCCGCUACACAGUCGCCGUUUCUCAACAUCCUCGCACGCCCGCCCGUCCGCACGCACGCACGCCUGCACGCACGAGAAUACACCAAAGCAGCCGUGCACGCCCACCUUGCCGUCCAGGCCCUUGAGCGCGUGCUCCUUGUCCGCCACCGCCUUGCGCGCGUCGUCGCGCUCGCGCCGCAGCCCAUCCAGCUGGCUGGAGGUGGCGGCCAGUUGCUGACGCAGCAGCUGAACCACCUGCGGCACACAAGGCGACAAAACACAUCUGUUGGACGUUCCCGGGGUGUGAGCGCGACGUUCCCGGGGUGUGAGCGUUUAAGACCAAAGCUCACGACAUUCUAACAAAAUUGAAUACAACUUGGAUACAAACAGAGAGUGGACAUCGCAGGGAUGGAUGGGCGGGAGGGGAGGGCGUGUGCGUGGGUGCGCGUGGGAGUUGCGGUUCAAGGGAUGCGCGGUGGCGGACGCCCCUGCCCGGCCUGGUACAGAACAGACACGGUCGCCGCCGCAGCGGUGGUGGGGCAGCACUUCGGCGCACUCUGUGGGCGCGCUCCUACACGCCAAGAAGCACCCGCGCACGCACCUGCGGGCUGCCCGCGGCGGCGGCGGCGCUGAGGCGGUCCACCUCCAGGGAGUGGGUGGGCGCGGUGCCGUAGUAGGCGGUCACCAUGACCGGCUUGGAGCCGCGGUAGCGCGCCAGGGUGCGGUUCUCGCACGGCUCCCAGAUCUCAG